GUCAGUUUUUCUUAAAUUAAUUCUUUGAUCUUCAAAGUAACACAGUGUAGAUCUGCCAUCCCAUCUAAAGCAGGGAGCGGAAGUGAGGGUCUAGUGUUCUCAGGCGAAAUAGGAAACAAAGGAAUUGGAAUGUUUGGCCUUAAACACGAAUAAGUAUGGCAACUGUUUUUUUCUUUAUUUCUUGAGGGGCCAUUUGGUGGUAUGGAGGAAGCUGGAUUGGGGUUCCCCUCUCGACACCAGAAGCACUGGGGCUACUGUUUCCU
rnacentral:lncRNA from 1 species